GACGAACGCUGGCGGCGUGCUUAACACAUGCAAGUCGAACGGAAAGGCCCUGCUUUUGUGGGGUGCUCGAGUGGCGAACGGGUGAGUAACACGUGAGUAACCUGCCCUUGACUUUGGGAUAACUUCAGGAAACUGGGGCUAAUACCGGAUAGGAGCUCCUGCUGCAUGGUGGGGGUUGGAAAGUUUCGGCGGUUGGGGAUGGACUCGCGGCUUAUCAGCUUGUUGGUGGGGUAGUGGCUUACCAAGGCAUUGACGGGUAGCCGGCCUGUGAGGGUGACCGGCCACAUUGGGACUGAGAUACGGCCCAGACUCCUACGGGAGGCAGCAGUGGGGAAUAUUGCACAAUGGGCGGAAGCCUGAUGCAGCAACGCCGCGUGCGGGAUGACGGCCUUCGGGUUGUAAACCGCUUUCGCCUGUGACGAAGCGUGAGUGACGGUAAUGGGUAAAGAAGCACCGGCUAACUACGUG
rnacentral:rRNA from 1 species